CAUAUGAUUGACCAUUGCCAAUUUAUUUGUGAAAAAUAACUUAGUCUACCAAUGGUCGUCUAUGAUUUAACAAAAUAUGGCGGCUGUCGUAGCAACAGCCGAUAUGACGAUUCAAAAGAAUUCUCAGAUUUUAGUAAAUGUUGAAGAAGCGCUAGCUGAUUUAAUUGUUGUAUCGUACUGCACUGACGAUAAAAAGUUCCAAGGUGUGCUUCUGGACUCCAACAAAGGUAACUUGCCUUUUGGAGUGUAUAGCCUCAACCCAGCAUUCUCAAAACAGGCUGUGCCUACAAAUGAAAGCGAUAAAUUGCAUUCCGUUAGUCAAAGGUUCACAUACCAAGAACCCCAGUAUGAGGGAGAAAACUCACAAAAAUCAAAAAAGCCUGGUCCUAAGGGUAAACAGCAGCAAAAGAUGACCGUCCGACUAAGACCUCGGAAGGUCUUAUGUUCAAAUUGCCAAGGGAUAUGUAAUGAGAACAACGAAAACGUAGACGUGUCUAAAAAACGUAAGAUGGAAUCUGAUGACGAUACGUCUCGCCUCUCUGAGUCAUCAAGGACAGAAAAAAAGUAUUUGAUGGGUAGCAUGCUCAUACCCAAGCUGUCCAGGCUACAACCAAGCGAAAUCACAAGUGCUGUGAGAGGGGCACCAAAAGUUUCCAACAAGGCUAGUGAAAAACAAAUUAAAAGUGAGAAAUCUAGUAAUGAGACAGUAACACAGGAAUUGGCUUUUGUCAGUGUUUCUGACGACUUGGACGCCGAUAAAGAAGAAGAUAUGAAAGACGAAAAUGAUAUUUCUUUCAGCUCUAUGUUCUCAAGUGCAAAGACACUUAAAAUAUGUUUUGGGGAAGGUGAAGGGACAGUUGUGAAAAUACCACCACUUACUGGCGACUUCAAUGAAGACUCAGGUGUAUCUUGUGACAUGGGGAAGCCAACGAAACCUGAUUCCAAAGCAGCUAAGAAGGCACUAAAGAAAGCUAAAAAACAGGCAAAGAAAACUAGCUCAGUAGAAAAAAGUCAAAGUAUGCAAUCACCCAAACAUAUAGGAGCGUUAUCACCUCAUAACAAUGCCUCCAGUCCAACACUAGAUCCUUUAGAAAAGAAACACAAGCAUAAAGUAAAACACAAAAAGAAGUACAAAAAUCAGAAGAAGCGUGAUGAGAACACAAGUAAAUGUACUGACAGUGAAUCUGUGGACUAUUUUAGUGAUAUUAAAGAGCAUUGUAUGAACCAGAAGUUGUCAAUAAGCUUACGAAGAUUAAGUAGUAAUUCACAUGAGAAGCAAAUUGAGAAUGAUCCAAUAGAAAGUGGUUCGGAUGACUGCGACAGUGAAAUGGUGCCCGAUUUCCCUACAAAUGGUACGGAAGGUGUUGGUGGUAGGUUACUGAGGGUGUCUCCAGGGGAUGUGGUGUGGGGUAAGGUGGUAGGGUUUCCCUGGUGGCCGGGAAGGGUUCUCAGUGUCACACCCACGUCAAGGGCACAUGUGGCUUGGUAUGCUUCAACCACAUCGUCAUUAAUGCCAUGUGAUAGCUUGAGUCCAUUUUUAGAAGAUUUUAAGAUACGCUUCUUAAAGAAAAAACGGGGACCAUACAAAGAGGCUGUGAAACAAGCUACAAUCGAAGCUAAGAAAAAUGAAUCUCACGUAAGUGAUCCGCUUGCCAGUCCCACGCACACCCUGGCAACUGUCUCACCCCGACCCAUCGAUGUGUUCUCCUAGACGUAAGAUGCAUCCGAAUUUAUUCAAAGUCAUUGUGAUAUUUAAUAAUUACUUGAAUUGUCUGCACAAAUAGGUUCUUAAUACUAUUUAGUUGUUGCACUGAAAAUUUAUUUUUUAUGUCUUGAGAUAAAAUUGUUAUUUUUGUAUAGACUUCUUGAACAUAUAAACCAAAUUACCAACUACCUCUUUAGCUGUAAAAGAUAGGUAAUCUCAAAAAUAUAUGUAUUUUACAUUGGUUUCUUGCUUUUGGGAUAAGCAGUUCUAAUGUUGCAAUUUUUUUUCAAAUUAUAUCUUUAAUCUUAUUUUGUUAUUUUGUAAUUUAAGAUUUCUAAUCAAGAACAGCAAUGAUAUCUUUUAAAUUAUUUCAAAAGUGACUUCAUUUUCAGUGUAGCAACUAUUCAAUUUAAAUGUUAAAAAUAUAAACCAACAAUUUAAACAAGUUGGUUUUCUUAUAAGGCUGGAUUAUCAUUAUCUUUGGUCAUUGCGAGAACUUGGCAGGUAUCCUAAUAAUUCUCACCAGACUAAAUGGUGGCUCGCAACUCACUUCCGAGAGGACAAAAGCUUUCGCGUACAUCCACUGCCUGCUGAUACCUAAGGGACUAUGCACACCACGUUUUUUAAACGCGCCGUCGCGUCGACGCGCGUUUGUAGCGAUACAGACGCGAUACGCACGCAAAUCAGGACUGUGCUGCAGGAUAAAAACUUGGUGUGCAUAGGCCCUUAAAUGGUGUACACCCCGCGCGAUGUUCCGAAGCCCCAUUAAGUUUGGCCCAUACUAAACCAAUAUUUCAGACACAAUGGACUGCAAAGGUAGCAUUCUCUAGUUUGGCUUUCAGUGUAAGAAAUUAAAAGUGUGAAUAGAUAUUUUGCUGUGUAUUCAAAGUGUUCACUAUCACAAAUAUUGUUCAUUACUGUUGGACUGAUAUAUUACAAGGCACUAAUUCUAUGUAGAAUAAAAGUUGAUAGAUACUACCAUUUAAAAGCAGACAAGUUAUCAGAAUUGAAUUUUAAUUGAAUAACUAUGAAAAAGUACUAAUAUAAGUGUGAUAAUUAUUUUAUUCUGGCAAAUUCUAAUUAUAAUCUUAUGUGUGUAAAAUUUCCAAUUUUACAUUAUAGAAUUGAAAAGACGAUAUAAAAUGGUUUAGUUCAUGGGGCCCUUUUACUUUUUACGAAAACAAUAGUCAUAAUUUGUGGUAUAUUUAGUAUUGUUUAAUUGUACUUAUGAGUGUGCAAUAAUGAAUGAUUAAAAUAUUGGUUUGCACUGUUAUUUGAAAACAUAGUCUCGUAUAUUUUAAUGAUAAAAACAAAAGUUAGUUUGAGUAAUUUGCUCAUUAAUCAAAUAAAGGACAAUGGGCGAUUCCGGUCCAAAUGUCCACCACGAACGAGACCUAUAUGGCUAGAUAGCCCGUUAAAUAUAGAACAUUUUUUGUUAUGAAAGUAAAAAACAAUAUAAUGCCAGAAAAAAGUUAUAGCAAAAUCUAGUAAAACAUUUUAUAGAUUUUUUCAAUGUCAUUUUUCAAUUUCCUUUCGAUUUUCGUACUUUCUGUAACUUCUGUCAAAAUAUAAUCAUUCAUUAUUAGAGAGGAGACACCACCAGUUACUUAAAACUUUCUUAGAUCCAGGAACCGCUGAAUAUAUUCAAGCACUUCUGGCGCCUCAAUUGGUUAGUGAUUCGUACAUCCAUCGGGCAAAAAGUAUGAGCUGUUUAUAUGCAAAUGUGUUUUAUUCAUCUUAGUUUUAGAUAAAGUGCGGAAAUGAAAGUGGAAUAAAAUAAAAAAAAUAUAAUGAUAACAUACAAAAACUACCGAAAAUUAAGAAUACAUUUUUGGCUAUAACUUUUUUUUGGCAUUGUUUUUUUUUUAGUUUCUUAGUAAAAGUUACUCUAAAUUAAGUGGACUGUUUAAUUAUAUAGGUCGCGUUCGUGGUGGACAUUUGGACCAAACUUCAUACAUUCUUGCCCAAUCUCCUUUGUGUUAAUACUGAAAAAUUAAAAUGAUUAAAAAUAAAAUUAAUCUAAAUAUAUAUUGCACCAUUUUUACCAAGACUACGGUAAAGUACGUAAAGUUGGUAAUUAUGUAACUGAGUUCUCAUAGGUAUUUUAGAUCCUAUCUGUAAUCUUUCGUUCUGAACAGAAAACUCAAAAUUAUUUCCUAUAGCAAAAAAAGGUUGAAAGUCAGUGCCAUAGACAGUACAUUUCUGAAAUACUAUUCACCCAAAUAUAAAAAAGUGUUCAACAUAAAAAUCCUAUUCUGGUAUUACUUACAAAAUAAUGUUCUAUUUUCAUUAUAUUUUUGUUUUAAUAUUAUUGUUUCCUGUUUAUAGUACUGCUGAAAUAAUGACUGAUGUCAAUAUUUCGUAUUAUGUUGCAGUUAAACUAUGUUACAAACUUAUGGCCAUUCCUUUUAUUGUCUGACUCUUGGUUUUGACUCUAAUUGUAUAAUAAAUACUGUACUUUUUAAUACACAAUAAAUCUGUAAAUAUUAUUUUUAUAGUUUGAUAUUAAAACCAAGAGAAAGACUUUGUUAUUUACUUUUUAAGAAUUUUUAAUUGCUGCAGAAAGAUUUGUAUCAUUGGUUACUAUAUUAUGAUAUUUUAUAUUUUAUGGUUUUAUGAAACAUUAAUAACUGAAGUGCUGAUAUAUUUCUGCAAAUUUUUUUCUGUAUGUUGUAUGAUUUUAGGGAAAAGUUACUCGUUUUUUAUUCAGGGCUCUUUUUGUUUUGGUAACAUUCAUAUAACAUUUUUUAAAUGCUGUUUAAAUUAAAGUCGUUUAAAAUUAUAUCUCUAACUUUUCCCAAAAUGUGGAGGUAUAUACUUAGAGGCACUUGAAAAAAGGGAAUUCUGCCAAAGAUGAAUGAUCUUUGUCCAACUUAUAGUGAUUUAACUUAUGGUCAAAACUAUUAUAAAUAAUUGUGUACAUAUUCAGAAUAAAGCCGUAUUUUAUUAGUGUAGUCUGCUACAGUGUAUCAUCUUAUCAUUACAGGAAAAUGUAUUUUUAAAAUAUAAAUUCUUCACAAAAUUA